AUUGAACGCUGGCGGCAGGCCUAACACAUGCAAGUCGAACGAGUGGCGGACGGGUGUGUAAUGUCUUGGCAACUGCCUGAUGGAGGGGUAUGACUUCUGGAAACUGUCGCUACUACCGCAUACCGUCAUUUUUGCCGUGAUUGGAUUAGCUUGUUGGUGGGGUAACGGCUCACCAAGGCGACGAUCCCUAGCUGGUCUGAGAGGCUGACCCGCCACACUGGAACUGAGACACGGUGCAGACUCGUACGGGAGGCAGCAGUGGGGAAUAUUGAACAAUGGGCGCAAGUCUGAUUGAGCCAUGCCGCGUUGAUGAAGAAGGCCUUCGGGUUGUAAAGCACUUUCAGCGGGGAGGCGUUACCGGAAGAAGAAGCACAGGCUAACUCCGUGCCAGCAGCCGCGGUAAUUC
rnacentral:rRNA from 1 species